rnacentral:ncRNA from 1 species
UUAAAGUUUGAUCUUUGCUUAUUCCUCUGUUUAAAAAAUAAUUUACAUGUAAGUGAGUGCGGGAUAAUUUUAUGUUAAUAGAUUUAUUUAGUUAGUUUUCAGUAUCUGUAUUUGGAUUAUGAAGUAGUUCUUUGAAUCAGUAAUUUUAGUGAUUUCAGGUUAAAUUUGUGCCAGCAGCCGCGGUUAGACUGUGAGGAAGGAUAGAGGGUUUAAAGUUAUUAGUUACAGGGUAGGAAUCUGCGAGUUUUUUCUUUUAGUGAGUUGAGAGGUGAAAUUUAUAGUUCAAUGGGAAUGUUUAGAUUUGUAGAUUUUCUUGGAAGCUUUUAAAGUUUAGAUUUAGACCAGGAUUAGAUACCCUGUUAUACUAGACUUGAACUAUUUUUACUUGAUUAGUAUUAGUUAUGUUCUUGAAAUUUAAAGGAUUUGGCGGUAUCCGAGUCUAGUUAGAGGAACCUGCCAUUUAAACGAUAUUCCACGAAUUAUCUUACUUUAUCUUGUUUGUUAGUAUGUAUACCGCCAUUAUCAGGUGGUGUAUUAAUAUAACCAUUAAAAUUAAUUAUAUUAAGUAUAUUAGGUCAAGGUGCAGCUAAUGGUAAAGCUAUGGGUGGGUUACAAUGUAUUUAUAUUUACAGACGGAUGGUUUUUUGAAAUGAAAACUUUAAGGUGGAUUUAAUUGUAUUUUUAUUUUAAUAUGAUAAAUUGAUAGUAGCUCUAGGAUAUGUACACAUCGCCCGUCGCUCUCAUUAUUUAAAGUGAGAUAAGUCGUAACAUAGUAGUUGUAUUGGAAAAUGCAUCUAGUAGUUU